rnacentral:rRNA from 1 species
UACGUAGGGGGCAAGCGUUGUCCGGAAUCAUUGGGCGUAAAGGGCUCGUAGGUGGCCAACUAAGUCAGACGUGAAAUCCCUCGGCUUAACCGGGGAACUGCGUCUGAUACUGGAUGGCUUGAGUUUGGGAGAGGGACGCGGAAUUCCAGGUGUAGCGGUGAAAUGCGUAGAUAUCGUCAAGAACACCUAUAGCGAAGGCAGCUUACUAGGCUGUAACUGACGCUGAGGCACGAAAGUGUGGGGAUCAAACAGG